CCAUAUAUGGCCAUAUAUAAUAAUAUAUUGAUCAAUAUACAGGAGUCUCUGAUUGAAUCAUCUCAGCUCUCAUAUCACGUAUGACGCGCCUACGUCACGUCGUCACAACCUGAAGCUAAAGUGGCGAGAGAGCCGUCUCGGCUCGAGCGCGGUCCGGAUUUUAGCUCCACACUGUCGCCAGCCAGACUCCCCACCACAGUGACACAAACCAACCAGCCGCCUCGAGAGGUUGCUGAAGAGGUAUGCAGCGAUGGUCUGGAGGAAAAAAUAGUCACAUGGACUGGUGUGCAUUCCAGUACUUGAAAUGAUGCUGUUGCUCAGGCACAUCCAGGUGCGAGGAUGGGGGAGAUCCGGAUGUCGCUAAAUAAAAGAAUCUGUGAACUGCUUCACCAAUAGAAAAAGAAGUCCAUGGACAGGCCUAUGAGCCCUCUUGUUGACCUUGAGUGACUGAGGCUGCGGGCGGUCUGCCCCUGAAUUCACCUUCACUUUCUUUUCCUUUUUAAAAAAAAAAUAUAUCUGA